rnacentral:rRNA from 1 species
GAUGAACGCUGGCGGCGUGCCUAAUACAUGCAAGUCGAGCGAACAGAUGAGGAGCUUGCUCCUCUGACGUUAGCGGCGGACGGGUGAGUAACACGUGGAUAACCUACCUAUAAGACUGGGAUAACUUCGGGAAACCGGAGCUAAUACCGGAUAAUAUAUUGAACCGCAUGGUUCAAUAGUGAAAGACGGUUUUGCUGUCACUUAUAGAUGGAUCCGCGCCGCAUUAGCUAGUUGGUAAGGUAACGGCUUACCAAGGCAACGAUGCGUAGCCGACCUGAGAGGGUGAUCGGCCACCCUGGAACUGAGACACGGUCCAGACUCCUACGGGAGGCAGCAGUAGGGAAUCUUCCGCAAUGGGCGAAAGCCUGACGGAGCAACGCCGCGUGAGUGAUGAAGGUCUUCGGAUCGUAAAACUCUGUUAUUAGGGAAGAACAAAUGUGUAAGUAACUAUGCACGUCUUGACGGUACCUAAUCAGAAAGCCCCGGCUAACUACGUG